GAGAGGAACUUGUUCCUCGAGUCGUUGAUUUCACACUGCCGAGAAAAGCCUCUAGCUAGAAUAACGGUGCCCGUACCGCAAACCGACACAGGUAGUCAAGAUGAGAAUUCUAAGGUGAGCGAGCGAACUCUCGUUAAGGAACUCGGCAAAAUGACCCCGUAACUUCGGGAGAAGGGGUGCUCUUUGAGGUUCACGCUUCGAAGAGCCGCAGUGAAUAGGCCCAAGCGACUGUUUAUCAAAAACACAGGUCUCUGCUAAACCGUAAGGUGACGUAUAGGGGCUGACGCCUGCCCGGUGCUGGAAGGUUAAGAGGAGUGGUUAGCGCAAGCGAAGCUACGAAUCGAAGCCCCAGUAAACGGCGGCCGUAACUAUAACGGUCCUAAGGUAGCGAAAUUCCUUGUCGGGUAAGUUCCGACCCGCACGAAAGGCGUAACGAUUUGGGCACUGUCUCAACGAGAGACUCGGUGAAAUCAUAGUACCGGUGAAGAUGCCGGUUACCCGCGACAGGACGGAAAGACCCCGUGGAGCUUUACUGUAGCCUGAUAUUGAAAUUCGGUACAGUUUGUACA
rnacentral:rRNA from 1 species